rnacentral:lncRNA from 1 species
UCCUGAAUAAUUCAUGGUAUGUCUCUGAAAAUAGAAAUAAAGACAACCAAAAGGAGGAGAUCUAGAAUUUAUUCGAAUCAAAGAGCGAACAAGUACCUCAAAAAUCUAAUAAUCGCCGUCUGAACUCAACUACCAUAACUAGUACUCGAGCUAAGAUUUGCACUGAAAGAUAUAGUAGGGAUGAGUACGGUCCACUUGUACUCCGCUGGUAUCAUACACCAGCUGAGUAAAGUAGGAAA